AUGAGCUUCAAGAUAAGAAGCUGUGAGCAGUAUGAAAGUCAAUUAGAAAAGGAGACAUCAAUGAUAGAGGUGGAUUCUAUUACAGCACAGAGAAUGAGUUCAGCCAGCUUAAUGAGAAAGACUUGAUAGUUUGAUUGAAGCUGAAAUGUGACCUUAGAGUGAUGGGAGAUCUCAGUUCAAAAUGCUCACUGAACUUUUCUCUGACCUGCCUUUAACCCUCAGCCUACAUCACAGUCUUAAGCAGAACUCAGGUGGAAUUCCAGUUUGAUCAGUCUUCAGUUUUCUAAGCCCAAAUAAGGAAAAGCAAAUAACGUAACUUAAAAUCCAAAUCUCUUAAAUUCCAGUUCAGUCAUGUAUGAGUCAAAUUUUCCAAGCUACUCAGGUGGUAUUACUUCAUUAGGUCUUGAGUCACCUGUGCCUAGGCUGUGGAUUUACAGUAAGAGCUUUAGUCCUUGUUUUGCACCCCAAUAGUGUAAGUCUGCUGUUAAUGAAGAGGGAGAUUUUCAUAUGAGCUAACUAAAGGCACCUAAAGGUAUAAUUUUGAAAACUGUUUGAACUGACGCUAGCUAUUUCAUAUCUAGAAAUGAUGUGAUCCAAAUCCUUUAAGAACUUAUUCCGCCUUUUGAAAUUUUACUCAAAGGCAUUAAGGCUAGAUAUUAUCAUAGUUUAAACAAAAUAAAGCUGUUUUCUGCUUCUUUUGUCCUCAAAGUGAAGCUAUAGGAUAAAACUUUACAGUGCAGUUAAAAGGUAACAUUUAUAUUAAAAACUGCAUAUGGUAUGCUGAUUUUUGUAGACUAGAAGACUUAUCUCACACAUUAUUUAUGGAUCAGACUAUAUGAAACAUUGUGAGUCCUCAUGCUGAACUCUCAAAAUUUAUCGUGAAAGAUGAAAUUCUGAGGCAGAGCAAGAGUCAGCAUAGGCAGUAGCACCCACUAGGGAAGUACCGACUUUAUUCCAUUUAAAUAGUUCUGGUUUAGGAAAAAAUCUGGGUUCUUCUAAGUAUUAAGCUUUUCAGCUGCUAUUAGAAGCUUAUAAAGAAACCUGACCUUGUGUAAAAUACUUUUGGUGUUGACUAUCUUUUAAUAAGCCAUCAGAUAUGAACUUGUCUCUUCCUUCAUAAGAUAUGUAUAUAUAAAAUAUAUAUAUCUUUUUAAAAUGAC
rnacentral:lncRNA from 1 species